GGACUACUGGGGUUUCUAAUCCUGUUUGCUCCCCACGCUUUCGUGUCUCAGUGUCAGUGUUAGUCCAGAUGGCCGCCUUCGCCACUGAUGUUCCUCCCGAUAUCUACGCAUUUCACCGCUACACCGGGAAUUCCACCAUCCUCUACCACACUCUAGCCUGCCAGUAUCAAAUGCAGUUCCUGGGUUGAGCCCAGGGAUUUCACACCUGACUUAGCAAACCACCUACACACGCUUUACGCCCAGUAAUUCCGAUUAACGCUUGCACCCUCUGUAUUACCGCGGCUGCUGGCAC
rnacentral:rRNA from 2 species